ACAUAAUUUUCUCUAAUUAUAACCAGACAAAAGCAAUAAACAUCACCCUUACAAACAAACGCAUUUGUUUUAGGUAAUCCCCGCGACGAACAAAUCCACAACUUCUUUCCCAUUUUCGACUGCUUUCGUCUCAAGUCCAAAUCCCGACAACAACAUCCCCUCCACUCGACGGAUCAAUGGAUCAUUGUCUACGACGAGCGCCCUUUUUUUUCGCCCUCCCUCCAUUUUUCCUCCUGCGAAACAAAGCACCAUGCAUGCAUGUUGAGUAUACAUGUAGGCAUGUAUAUAUAUAUAUAUAUAUCGAGAGAGAGAGAGAGAGAGAGAGAGAACCUUUGGAAGAAGAGAUUUUGAUGAAGCAACUUUUUGGAGAAGAUAUGAAAGUGUUGGCUGCAACCAGAUUUUCCGCGCUUAUGGUCUAAAAUUUGGAGAUUUUGAUGCAAUGAAUUGAAUGGGGAUUGGCAUUCAUCAUUUUCCGUCUGGGAGAAAUCUGUGUGGUAGAUUUGCAGUGUUUAGUUAUAAUUCAUGUUGUGUGAUCUAUUUUUCAUAUCGGGAUUUAGCACCUUUUCAAACAGAAUCUUGUUACUGUGGCAUGUGGAAAUCACAGGUGAAAUUCAAAUUACA